GAGCCACCCAGCAGCUGGAUAAGAUAUCUGAGGAUCUGUGCCAGUCCAUUGAGGCCAGGAGGAGUGACGCAGGUGUGCGCCACAGGAGUCUGCAGGGUUUGGACAUUGCAAAUGGGAU